UUCAAAAAAAGCUUCUGCCUUGUCACACCAUACCCUAAAUGCUCGAGCCAUGUUGAGGGGUGAAAUGGUGGAAAGGUGAAUCUGUGAGUGCAAACCCAUAAAGUCGAAUCUGUGCUUGUCAACCCGAAGUCAGAUGUCCCACAGCCUGGCACCGAGAGCCGGGGAGCCUGCCGUUGACCGCCCGGGCUCUGCAGGUGGAUUGCCUGGGUUCAAAUCCUGUCUCUGCUCCUACAACCUUGGGCAAGUUCCAGCUUCCGCACCUGUGAAAUUAGGAUGAGAAUAGUCAUUUCCCUUAUAUGGCGGUUGUGAGAAUUAAGCCAGUGGAAGUUCCCGACACAUAGGCUGUAGCAGUGGCCAGGAAGAAAACCACCCCCUCUGAAGUCUGUUUUUGUUGCUGUUCUUUGGAGCAUUGUUCUAAAAUGGGAAAUUACGUAUUGCUGUGCCAAAGGAAACAAACACCUGCAGUUAAAGGCAUACCUUCCAGGAGGUGGCUUUUCAGAACACGCACCAUUAUAGCCCUGGCCAGUUUGGGAUGCAAUUCGAUGCCUUCCUUCAUUUCCAAAGGGAUUGGGUGUGGGCUUGCUUGUAAUUGGAAUGGGCUUUCCCAACUAUGGGUUUCAGGUGAUUUUUCCUUCACUCGUUCACCCAAUAAACAUUUAUUGAGCAUCUAUUCUGCA